rnacentral:rRNA from 1 species
UACGUAGGGGGCCAGCGUUGCUCGGAAUUACUGGGCGUAAAGGGUCCGUAGGCGGUGUAGCAAGUCGAUAGUGAAAUCUCUGGGCUUAACCCAGAGGCUGCUUUCAAAACUGCCGCGCUCGAGUGCGAGAGAGGCCAGUGGAAUUGCAGGUGUAGCGGUGAAAUGCGUAGAUAUCUGCAGGAACACCCGUGGCGAAGGCGGCUGGCUGGAUCGCAACUGACACUGAGGAACGAAAGCUAGGGGAGCAAACAGG